rnacentral:rRNA from 1 species
GACGAACGCUGGCGGCGUGCUUAACACAUGCAAGUCGAACGGAAAGGCCCUGCUUUUGUGGGGUGCUCGAGUGGCGAACGGGUGAGUAACACGUGAGUAACCUGCCCUUGACUUUGGGAUAACUUCAGGAAACUGGGGCUAAUACCGGAUAGGAGCUCCUGCUGCAUGGUGGGGGUUGGAACGUUUCGGCGGUUGGGGAUGGACUCGCGGCUUAUCAGCUUGUUGGUGGGGUAGUGGAUUGCACGGCUUUGACGGGUAGCCGGCCUGAGAGGGUGACCGGCCACAUUGGGACUGAGAUACGGCCCAGACUCCUACGGGAGGCAGCAGUGGGGAAUAUUGCACAAUGGGCGGAAGCCUGAUGCAGCAACGCCGCGUGCGGGAUGACGGCCUUCGGGUUGUAAACCGCUGUCGCCUAUGACGAAGCGUGAGUGACGGUAAUGGGUAAAGAAGCACCGGCUAACUACGUG